rnacentral:rRNA from 1 species
GAACGCUGGCGGCAGGCCUAACACAUGCAAGUCGAACGGUAACAGGAAGCAGCUUGCUGCUUCGCUGACGAGUGGCGGACGGGUGAGUAAUGUCUGGGAAACUGCCUGAUGGAGGGGGAUAACUACUGGAAACGGUGGCUAAUACCGCAUAACGUCGCAAGACCAAAGAGGGGGACCUUCGGGCCUCUUGCCAUCAGAUGUGCCCAGAUGGGAUUAGCUUGUUGGUGAGGUAACGGCUCACCAAGGCGACGAUCCCUAGCUGGUCUGAGAGGAUGACCAGC